GGCCGCUUCAAACCGGGGCCCCUGGACAUGGCGCCCUCUCUGCGUCCCCACCCUGCGAACCCUUGGAGUCCUCCUAGUUAAGGAUCCUGCAGCUGGAAGCUGCUUCCUUAGCACCCUGAGUUGAACGGAAGUGCCGACAUCCUCAACCGCGCUUUGGAUGCUUAUUGCUUGGACUGCCUGAGAAUGAAAAACUGAAGGAAGACUGCUGCUGAUGAAACUAUUGACAAUGCACCACUGGAAUCAGUGAUCUUCAGUGAUGUAGCUAUAGACUUUUCCAGGGAAGAGUGGGCCUUGCUGGACACAACCCAGAGAAAGCUGUUCAGAGAUGUUAUACUGGAG